AUGUGGUCAUUUUGAGUCCAAAUUUUGUUAGUAAGUAGCUAAAACCAUGAACAGAAAGUGAAGGUAAAAUGGGCUGAAAAUUCAUAAGAAUCAAGGGAGUUAUUGCUGUUGGAAGAGAAGGCUUGUGCAUGGAAUGUUAUUUUGCGUCUUAAGGGUUUAGGAGAGCCUAAGGCAGCCCAAAAUAGCUGAAAUAGAGCCAAAGUUGGUGUAGAAUCACCUCAAAGGAGGAUAAAGUGAUGGGAGGAGUUUGGAUAAAUUUGGAAACCAUUAGAGUGGGAGAUUAAU
rnacentral:lncRNA from 1 species